AAGGAUAUAAGGCUCAAAAUUUUAUUUUAACCUACCCUUUCUUCAUGAUGAUCACCAAUCCUAUGUUUAGUUAAUUCAAAACACAUGUUCAAAUUCCAAAAGAGUUUGAUGAUGUAAAAGUGAAUAUGAUGAUUCAAUAUCUAACGAGAUAUUCUUUAAAUGGAAUUCACCUUAUUUCGCUUUUGUCAUGGAUGUUAGUGACCCCUUGAUUCCUAAUAUGAUGGUCACCU
rnacentral:lncRNA from 1 species